rnacentral:lncRNA from 1 species
CUCACAUUCCCCAUCAUACAUUAUUUCCUCUGGGGCAAAGGCUUUCGCUUUAUGCCAAUUAGAGCCUUUACCCUGCUGGAGAGGUAACUAAGCACAGGAGGAGCUGUAAUGCAAAGAUAUUACUUUCCCAAACCCUGGCCCCACAUUGGCUUACCCAAAUCCUCCGGCGCUGGCUGCAGCUGUACCCUCGCCGAACACUUUGCCUCCCGUCGAGCCCAGAGGGCUUGAAAAGGUUGGGGCUGAACCGAAUGCUGGCACCCCUCCAAACCCAGGGGAUCCCCCAAAAGUGGGAGGGCUGCCAAACACUGGAGCAGCACCGAAGCCACCUGCUUUGGUUGGACUAGAGAACCCAAAGCCUU